rnacentral:rRNA from 1 species
CCUACGGGUGGCUGCAGUGAGGAAUAUUGGUCAAUGGGCGUAAGCCUGAACCAGCCAAGUCGCGUGAGGGAUGACGGUUCUAUGGAUCGUAAACCUCUUUUAUAAAGGAAUAAAACGAGGCACGUGUGCCUUUUUGCAUGUACUUUAUGAAUAAGGAUCGGCUAACUCCGUUCCAGCAGCCGCGGUAAUACGGAGGAUCCGAGCGUUAUCCGGAUUUAUUGGGUUUAAAGGGAGCGUAGAUGGGUUGUUAAGUCAGUUGUGAAAGUUUGCGGCUCAACCGUAAAAUUGCAAUUGAUACUGGCAGUCUUGAGUACAGUUGAGGUAGGCGGAAUUCGUGGUGUAGCGGUGAAAUGCUUAGAUAUCACGAAGAACCCCGAUUGCGAAGGCAGCUUACUAAACUGUGACUGACAUUGAUGCUCGAAAGUGUGGGUAUCAAACAGGAGUAGAUACCCCAGUAGUC